rnacentral:lncRNA from 1 species
CCUGUUGUGGCUGCUGGGCAUAAGUGCAAGGCCCUGGCAUUUGUGCACAUCAAAGACCAAGCAAGCCCUCACCAGGGAGCUGUCUCCUGGCUUCUGCAGUGUUUAACCUUCAGUGUGUUGCAUUGUCUUUCUCUCCCAGGUUCUGUUUGUGGCUGGUUUGGCUUUUGUAAUUGGUCUAGAAAGAACAUUCAGAUUCUUCUUCCAGAAGCACAAAGUGAAAGCCACUGGAUUUUUCCUGGGUGGUGUGUUCGUGGUCCUUAUUGGUUGGCCUUUGAUAGGCAUGAUCUUCGAAAUUUACGGAUUCUUUCUCUUGUUCAGGUGAGGUCCUUCUUUUCUGUCAUGAGCCAGUGUCUCAGAUAACGUUUGCAGAGACCGGGGUAG